UACGAAGGGUGCUAGCGUUGUUCGGAAUUACUGGGCGUAAAGCGCGCGUAGGCGGCUUUUCAAGUCAGGGGUGAAAUCCCACGGCUCAACCGUGGAACGGCUGGGUAUACUGCCUGUCUUGAGCCAACUAGGGGCGAGCGGAACAGACGGUGGAGCGGUGAAAUGCGUAGAUAUCGUCUGGAACGCCAAAGGUGAAAACAGCUCGCUGGGGUUGUGCUGACGCUGAGACACGAAAGCCAGGGGAGCGAACGGG
rnacentral:rRNA from 1 species